UACGAAGGGGGCAAGCGUUGUUCGGCAUUACUGGGCGUAAAGGGCGCGUAGGCGGCUUAUCAAGUCAGGCGUGAAAUUCCCGGGCUCAACCUGGGGGCUGCGCUUGAUACUGAUGAGCUUGAAUGCGGGAGAGGAUAGUGGAAUUCCCAGUGUAGAGGUGAAAUUCGUAGAUAUUGGGAAGAACACCGGUGGCGAAGGCGGCUAUCUGGCGCGUAAUUGACGCUGAGGCGCGAAAGCGUGGGGAGCAAACAGG
rnacentral:rRNA from 1 species